rnacentral:rRNA from 1 species
GAUGAACGCUGGCGGCGUGCCUAAUACAUGCAAGUCGAGCGAACAGACGAGGAGCUUGCUCCUCUGACGUUAGCGGCGGACGGGUGAGUCACACGUGGAUAACCUACCUAUAAGACUGGGAUCACUUCGGGAAACCGGAGCUAAUACCGGAUAAUAUAUUGAACCGCAUGGUUCAAUAGUGAAAGACGGUUUUGCUGUCACUUAUAGAUGGAUCCGCGCCGCAUUAGCUAGUUGGUAAGGUAACGGCUUACCAAGGCAACGAUGCGUAGCCGACCUGAGAGGGUGAUCGGCCACACUGGAACUGAGACACGGUCCAGACUCCUACGGGAGGCAGCAGUAGGGAAUCUUCCGCAAUGGGCGAAAGCCUGACGGAGCAACGCCGCGUGAGUGAUGAAGGUCUUCGGAUCGUAAAACUCUGUUAUUAGGGAAGAACAAAUGUGUAAGUAACUAUGCACGUCUUGACGGUACCUAAUCAGAAAGCCACGGCUAACUACGUG